AGAUUGAACGCUGGCGGCAGGCCUAACACAUGCAAGUCGAGCGGCAGCACGGGUACUUGUACCUGGUGGCGAGCGGCGGACGGGUGAGUAAUGCCUAGGAAUCUGCCUGAUAGUGGGGGAUAACGCUCGGAAACGGACGCUAAUACCGCAUACGUCCUACGGGAGAAAGCAGGGGACCUUCGGGCCUUGCGCUAUCAGAUGAGCCUAGGUCGGAUUAGCUAGUUGGUGGGGUAAUGGCUCACCGAAGGCGACGAUCCGUAACUGGUCUGAGAGGAUGAUCAGUCACACUGGAACUGACGACACGGUCCAGACCUCCGUACGGGAGCAGGCAGGUAGGGAAUUAGUUAGGAACAAGUGGGACGAAAGCCUAGACUCCAGGCCAGUCGGACCGCGUUGGU
rnacentral:rRNA from 1 species